UUUUUUUUUUUUUAAAUUUUUUUUAAGAUUUAUUUAUUUAUUCUAUGUAAGUACACUGUAGCUGUCUUCAGACACUCCAGAAGAGGGCGCUAGAUCUCGUUACGGAUGGUUGUGAGCCACCAUGUGGUUGCUGGGAUUUGAACUCUGGACCUUUGGAAGAGCAGUCGGGUGCUCUUACCUGCUGAGCCAUCUCACCAGCCCGGUCAGAUGGAAUCUUAACGUGGUUUGUAAUUGCAUUUCCCAGUUGGCUACGGAUGCCGAACAUUAAAAAAAAAUAUUUUCAGUCAUUUGUGUUUCUCCACUUCAGAAUUGUCUGUUCAUUUCAUUGGCCCACUUAUUAACAGGCAGUAUUGUGGUUGUGUUGUUUAAUUUUUGGAGUUCUGGCUCAUGCCUUUAAUCUCAGCACUGGAGGCAGAGCCAUAGGCAGGCAGAGGCAGAGAGGCAGGAGGAAGAGGCAUCUCUCUGAGUUUGAGGCCAUCCUGAUCUACAGAGGAAGUUCCAGGACAACCAAAGCUACACAGAAAAACCCUGUUUCAAAAAAAUAAAAUAAAUUGAAGUUCUUAUAUAUUCAUCAUUGCCUGGUCUACACACACACACACACACACACACACACACACACACACACACACCACAAACAUCUAUUUAUUUAUUUUUGGAGACUGGCUUUCUCUGUGAAGCCCUGGCUAUCAUGGAACUCCCUCUGUAGAUCAGACUGGCCUCAAACUCAAUGAUUGGCCUAUUUCUGCCUCCCAGUGCUAGGAUUAAAGGUAUGAGUCACCAUGCCAAGCUAUAUUUAUUAUUAUUUAUAUUAACCAUAAAUAUUAAUAUAUAUUCACGUGCCUGCAUAAUGUUCGACUACAUCCCCUGAAGGUUUAGUAUGUUUGCUUUCAGAUGAGAAGAGCAAAAGCUAUGGCUUUUAUUUCUGACUGCGUCUCUGUGGCACUAAGGAUUUAAGUAGGGGCCUUGGGCUUUACCACUAAGCGACACCCACAGACUUUCUUGUUUGUUUUGGGUUUUUUUUUCAAGUUCUUUUUUUAAAGAUUUAUUUAUUUAUCUUAUGUAUAUGAGUACACUGUAGCUGUCUUCAGCCACCAGAAGAGGACAUCGGAUCCCAUUACAGAUGGUUGUGAGCCUCCAUGUGGUUGCUGGGAAUUGAACUCAGGACCUCUGGAAGAGCAGUCAGUGCUUCUAACUGCUGAGCCAUCUCUCCAGCCCACCCACAAACUUUUAAAAAACAUUUUUAUUUGAGACAGGGUAAGUCUAAAGUAGCCUAGACUGGCCGUUAACUCACAACAUAGCCAAGACUCUGCAGGAAGGAGACUGUCCAAGGAACAGUGACAAAGCCAUCUAUAGCCCUAGGAGAAGUUCUAGGGGCAGCCAAGCCUGAGGACCCGUCGAUCGUCCACUUCAGAAGCCUGAGAGAAUGCCUUCCUGCUGAGGAAGCCUCCCAGCCUGUGGGGCUGCAGUACAGCAGACAGGGCAGACACACACAGCCCCCACGGCUGUAAUUUCAGACACUAAUUUAACCUGGAUGGGGCACUAUGAUUUGACUCGGGACCGUGGGAGCAGCUCCAGCUCCACAUCACACCUAAAUCGCAGCCUCGUCUCGUCGGGCCCAUGGAUGUAAGCAGCCCAGACCUGCAUCUCAGCGGAUGCGUCCGUGUUCCCCUUGCAGUGCGUCCUGCAGUCUCUGAGGGCUCUGCUGCUGUGUGGGUCCUGGGGAUCAUUUUGAGCACACGCACAAAGCCACACCUCCAGCCUUUGUUUCAUGUGCUUCCACUGGAGUAUGAGUCUAAGGACAGACAGUGACCUGAGGAGACCUCAGACUUUCUGAGACAACUCUGCAUAAUAUGGAGCCUCGGGUGGGUUAACCCUGAAGGAUGUGCUGAGGAGGAGGACAGGAAGAGGCAAGAACCAGCAAGAGUCGCGGGGAGAGCAGGAGGAGAAAGGUCCUCUCUGGCAUGAAAGUAUUUUUCCCAGUAGGCAUGGGGGGUCUCAGCACCCACUGGGGUGGAGGCAGGAGAAUGAGAAGUUCAAAGUCACCCUUGGUUAUAUAGCCAGCUCGAUGCUUGUUUGAGAUACAUGAGACGCUGCCAAAAGAGAAAUAAGUAUAGAGAAGUGGGGAAAGAAGGAGAGAGAGAGAGAGAGAGAGAGAGAGAGAGAGAGAGAGAGAGAGAGAGAGAGAGAGAGAGAGAGAACAAUGCUGAGGGUGAAGGAUGAUAGAACACAGGAGUAAGUACUGUUCACAAAAGUCAAAUCAUGGAGCCAGCGGCGUGCCUGUCAUAGGAAGAGUGGACAAGGAGAAUGUGCAAUACACACAUCAUGACAUUUUAUUCACUUUGGGAAAAUGGGUGGACUGUGAGAAGCUCAAGAAAGUAAACAUGACUUAAUUCCAAGCUACACUGCAGGCUGGAGAGAUGGCUUGACGGUGAAGAGCGCUUCCCUGCAACAAAUCCCUGCUUCUGAUCUAUUGGACACAUAGAAUAAACUCCUUUACCAAGUGUAGUGGCUCACACCUGUAAUCCCAGAACUGCCAGGCUGAGGCAGGAGAUUUGCUGCAAGUUACAGACCAGCCUGGACUACAUAGUGAGCUGGUGUAUGAGACCCUGACUCAAGAAAAAAAAAAUCUUCAUUUCAAAACAAACAAGUUGUCAGGAAGUAGUGGCGCACUCCUUUAAUCCCAGCACUUGGGAUGCAGUAGCAGGCAGAUUUCUGAGUUCGAGGCCAGCCUGGUCUACAGAGUGAGUUCCAGGACAGCCAGGGCUACACAGAGAAACCCUGUCUCGACACCCCCGAAAAUCCUAAACCCCCC
rnacentral:lncRNA from 1 species